rnacentral:lncRNA from 1 species
UUUUUGGUCACAGCAGAAAGAAAGUAACAUAAGAAUGUUAACCAAGAGUCAGACAAUGGGUGUAGACCACUAGGUUCUCUCUCCAGUUUAUGAAUUUUUUAAAGACACAAAAAUUCCAAAAUUUGUCACUACAUUGGCCUGAACUUGAACUGGAUAUUGAACCCAGGGCCUCAUCAAUGCUCAGCAAGUACCUCAUCACUGGCCUGUAUCCCCAGCCACCAGCUUCUAUUUUUAUUUCAAGGUCUAUGGUUCACUUGGAUGUCCAGUACAGAAGAUAAAGCCAACGAGAAGCUAUGGAUGUUGAGAAUGGUGAAAGGGACUGCUCAUAUGAACACCCUUGGGAAGGACCUGGACAUCAGAUGCUAUAAGCUGACAGUCACCCUCCCUACAAAGGAGAACAUGAUCGACCUCGACAAGAUCACAGCUAUAUUGGGACCAGUAGUAAAACUGAAGAAUAUGCUGAGAGACUUUGCUCACAAGCAAUGCAGUCAUUAUCUUGGUCUUCCUCCUGGAUGUUUGUCAGUUUUAUUCUUCUGACUUCAACCUUCCAUGGAGCCAACCAACAUGGAAAAGCACACAAAGGAUCCAUACCAUCGUCGAAAACAACCAAACAGGAUCUUUCCUCCAGCCUCCUGCUCAGAGGAGACCCCAGAAUCUCACUUCUUUCCCUGUAUAAACCUUCACAACCUUCCUACGCCGCAUUUUCUGGUUCUCACGGGAAGAUGUGAUCUAUCACCUCACAGACCACAGCAGAAUUUCCAGCACUGGGGAUGACUACAGUGUGCUCCCGAGAGGCAGUCUGACAGGAGUGUCCAUCCAUACACCUAGCUAGCCAGUGUGACCCAGUGACCUAUUGCCACUUGCUGCCAUACGUGGGCUAUGCCUGUGUUCAUCGCUGUAGAAGUAAGGGGGAAUCCUGGCAUGUACCCAGCUCUCUGACAGUGCAAGUAGAAGAUUUGAUCAAAGUGAAGGGGAUCCCGGCUCUGCCUCAGCCGAGGUCCCUUAUUUACAAGCAGCUGGAACUUGCUCCCACCUCUGGAUGAGACACAGAAGGAUACCACAAUGAAUGCACAUUUAUAUACGUUGCCUGGAGUCUGGGAAAUUAGAAGAGAGACUUUCAGAGAGUAAGAACUUACACAUUAUGUCCUCUGCAGGCAUUUCAGGCUAUUUGGCUAAAACCCUUCCGUGUAUAGGGAUGUAUGGGUUGGAUUUAACCCCAAAGUAAAUCUUUUAUAUCCAAAAA